rnacentral:misc_RNA from 1 species
GAUGAAGAACGUAGCGAAAUGCAAUAAGUAAUGUGAAUUGCAGAAUUCAGUGAAUCAUCGAAUCUUUGAACGCACCUUGCGCCUUUUGGUAUUCCGAAAGGCACACCUGUUUGAGUGUCAUGAAUACCUCAAUCUCCAUCUUUUCUUCGGAUUGAUGGGUGACUUGGAUGUUGAGCCCUGCUGGUAUGCUAUAUCAGCUGGCUUUAAACUUAUUAGCCGGCUCUGUACUGGAUCGGUUUGACUCGACGUGAUAAUAUUAUCGUUGAGGAUGCAUGUCUCAUGCAGCCGGAAAGUAUCAAAGCAGCUUCUAGCUUGCCUUUAGUGCACUUUUACAUUUUAGACCUCAGAUCAGGUGGGACUACCCGCUGAACUUAAGCAUAUCAAUAAGCGGAGGA